rnacentral:rRNA from 1 species
AUUGAACGCUGGCGGCAGGCCUAACACAUGCAAGUCGAGCGGAUGAAGGGAGCUUGCUCCUGGAUUCAGCGGCGGACGGGUGAGUAAUGCCUAGGAAUCUGCCUUGUAGUGGGGGAUAACGUCCGAAAACGGGCGCUAAUACCGCAUACGUCCUGUGGGAGAAAGUGGGUGAUCUUCGGACCUCACGCUAUCAGAUGAGCCUAGGUCGGAUUAGCUAGUUGGUGGGGUAAAGGCCUACCAAGGCGACGAUCCGUAACUGGUCUGAGAGGAUGAUCAGUCACACUGGAACUGAGACACGGUCCAGACUCCUACGGGAGGCAGCAGUGGGGAAUAUUGGACAAGGGGCGAAAGCGUGAUCCAGCGAUGACGCGUGUGUGAAGAAGGCCUUCGGAUUGUAAAGCACUUUAAGUUGGGAGGAAGGGCAGUAAGUUAAUACCUUGCUGUUUUGACGUUACCAACAGAAUAAGCACCGGCUAACUUCGUG